AUACGGAGGGUGCAAGCGUUGUUCGGAAUCACUGGGCGUAAAGGGCGCGCAGGCGGUUUGGUAAGUCAGAUGAGAAAGCCCACGGCUCAACCGUGGAAGUGCAUUUGAAACUGCCAGACUAGAGUACCAGAGGGGAAAGUGGAAUUCCCGGUGUAGAGGUGAAAUUCGUAGAUAUCGGGAGGAAUACCGGUGGCGAAGGCGACUUUCUGGCUGGAUACUGACGCUGAGGCGCGAAAGCGUGGGGAGCAAACAGGAUUAGAAACCCUAGUAGUCC
rnacentral:rRNA from 1 species